CGGAGGAUCCAAGCGUUAUCCGGGAUUUACUGGGUUUAAAGGGUGCGUAGGCGGGCGCUUAAGUCAGCGGUGAAAGGCAGCGGCUCAACCGUUGAAUUGCCGUUGAAACUGGGCGCCUUGGAUUCGGUCGAGGCCGGCGGAUGCGUGGUGUAGCGGUGAAAUGCUUAGAUAUCACGCGGAACGCCGAUUGCGAAGGCAGCUGGCCAGACCGAGAUCGACGCUGAGGCACGAAAGCGUGGGGAUCAAACAGGAUUAGAUACCCUGGUAGUCCACGCCGUAAACGAUGAUCACUGGAUGCCGGCGAUACACCGUCGGUGUCUGAGCGAAAGCAUUAAGUGAUCCACCUGGGGAGUACGAUCGCAAGGUUGAAACUCAAAGGAAUUGACGGGGGCCCGCACAAGCGGAGGAACAUGUGGUUUAAUUCGAUGAUACGCGAGGAACCUUACCUGGGCUAGAACGCCGAGCGCAUAUGGGGGAAACCCCAUAGCCAGCAAUGGCGGUCGGCGAGGUGCUGCAUGGUUGUCGUCAGCUCGUGCCGUGAGGUGUCGGGUUAAGUCCCAUAACGAGCGCAACCCUUAUCGUUAGUUGCCAUCUGGUAAUGCAGGGGACUCUAGCGAAACUGCCACCGUAAGGUGAGAGGAAGGUGGGGAUGACGUCAAAUUAGCACGGCCCUUAUGUCCAGGGCUACACACGUGUUACAAUGGCCGGUACAGAGGGCAGCUACCUGGUGACAGGAUGCUAAUCUCGAAAACCGGUCUCAGUUCGGAUCGAAGUCUGCAACUCGACUUCGUGAAGCUGGAUUCGCUAGUAAUCGCGCAUCAGCACGGCGCGGUGAAUACGUUCCCGGGCCUUGUACACACCGCCCGU
rnacentral:rRNA from 1 species